rnacentral:rRNA from 1 species
GACGGGGAGCACUACGAACGGGUGGAGCCUGCGGUUUAAUUGGACUCAACGCCGGAAAACUCACCGGGGGCGACAGCAAUAUGUAGGUCAAGCUAAAGACUUUACCAGAAUCGCUGAGAGGAGGUGCAUGGCCGUCGUCAGUUCGUACUGUGAAGCAUCCUGUUAAGUCAGGCAACGAGCGAGACCCGUGCCCACUGUUGCCAGCAUGUCCUUCGGGAUGAUGGGUACUCUGUGGGGACCGCCGAUGCUAAAUCGGAGGAAGGUGCGGGCUACGGUAGGUCAGUAUGCCCCGAAUCUCCCGGGCUACACGCGGGCUACAAUGACUGGGACAAUGGGCUCCUACCCCGAAAGGGGAUGGUAAUCUCAUAAACCCAGCCUUAGUUCGGAUCGAGGGCUGUAACCCGCCCUCGUGAAGCUGGAAUCCGUAGUAAUCGCGUUUCAACAUAGCGCGGUGAAUACGUCCCUGCUCCUU